UACGUAGGGGGCUAGCGUUGUCCGGAAUCAUUGGGCGUAAACCGCGUGUAGGCGGUCCGGUAAGUCCGCUGUGAAAGUCGGGGGCUCAACCCUCGGAUGCCGGUGGAUACUGUCGGGCUUGAGUACGGAAGAGGCGAGUGGAAUUCCUGGUGUAGCGGUGAAAUGCGCAGAUAUCAGGAGGAACACCAAUUGCGAAGGCAGCUCGCUGGGACGUUACUGACGCUGAGACGCGAAAGCGUGGGGAGCAAACAGG
rnacentral:rRNA from 1 species